CAGCAUCCCAUCCUCAUCGCCACUGUAGUAACCAUAGGAAGCAUGGAAAGCAUGACACCUGGCUGUGCGAACAAGAAUGAACAUUUAUUAAAAAUGCUGUCAGUUUUUGCAAAGCUACACCUCGUCCCAGCUUGGCUUCCUGGUCACCUACCACGUCAUAACACUGGAUGCCAAGUGCAAAUUCUGAAGUAACCAAGGCGUAACAAUUGGUUGGCAGCUAUGAUAUGUUCCAAGCUUGGUCCUGGUUUUAGUUACUGUCGCCUCAUUUUGCCUAAGUUCUAACAUGUGGAUGGCAACAUAGGGGUGAUCUCCACAGGAUUUUUGGCUGCAAGUGGUGAGUGCAUGGCUUUUCUUCACUGAAAUAUCAUUAGGCUUCAUGGAUCUUAUGUGUUGUACAAAGCGGUAAUUGAGUUGCGACCAUUGACAUGUGUUUUAGAGUACGUCAUCGUAGCUUCGUGAUGAAGAGUUAGUAGCACUUAGGGUAGCCAUGAACACGAAAGCAUUAAAGAAACCCGAAUUGGUAGAGCAGGCCAGAGAGUCGGGCCUAGAGAUUACUAAGGCGAAGAGAAAACCAGAGAUUAUUGGUGUGAUCAAUGCAGUCGGGGCAGACGAAGAAAUUGCACAAUGCUUAGAACUCACUGAAUAAAAAAAAAGUGAGUCAGAACAUGAAGCAUGUGAGGAGUGCUUAGCACAUGGAGCACGGGAAAAUGAGAUGAAGCGCUUUGAUCUUGAGCUACAUAGGGCUCAAAAUGUGAGGGAAGCUAGUGGAAUGUCAAGAAAGGUGAAUGACGAAAAUUCACUGACGAUUACGAUACUCCCUAAUGCAAAGUUUGAGUGCAGCUCUAUGCGUGCUUUCAUUUCACAAAAUACUGAGGCAUUGCACUGAUCACCGCACUAACUAGCAGAGCCGCAACAGGCGGAGCUAUAUACAGACCAGUCACACAGUUGCCAUGCAACCAUAAUCUUUACCGGAAAACGCUAGUGGAGAACGCUGUGCGCGAAGGCGAGCUUUCUUGUUCUUUUUUUUCUUUCACCCGGACAGCCAGCACCACCGCUGCCGCAGAGACGUGAGCACCAUCUUGUGGUGCUUCAAGGGGGCUUCCUCUGCUUUCCUCCUCGCAGUUCUCUUCUCUAUCGCAGUCUUCUGCUUUUCUCCUCACCCUUUUGCCGUACUCUCCUCCUCCUCUUUCUGCCUCAUGCUUUCACUAUAGCCCCCUCCUCCGCUUUCAUCCUCACGCUCUCUUUGCUGUCGCCUUCUUUCAUUCCCCAUUGCGCUCCGCAUUUGCUCGGUUACGCCGAGGGAAGCUCGCCGACGCUCAACGCAGGAACGCGCACCUUAGAGCUGCACUCUAGAUCGCUCAACAUGAAGGACUUGAAGCAACAAUACAGAAUCUGAGAGGACAUAGGCCUCUUAGUGAACUUUGAAUACACAUUCGAGAAAGCUGAAUUUGUGAGAGAUGCCUGGCCAAAAUGCCUGCUGACAUUGCAAUGUGAGGUAGCCGAUGAAACGCCUGCAUGAGGAACACAGAUGCAGAGAGCUACGACAAGAUCAAGUAGAACCAACUUAAGAAAUACAGGUUGCAGAAUGGUGGCUUGUUGGGCUAGUUGAUUCAGUCGUAAGUACAGGUUAUCAGCAGAGGCACUCUAGCAAAAAUUUAGGGAAGCUAAAAAGGCCAGAAAUUAGGCCCAUCCUGAGUUUGCGUUCUCACUGAUGGCCAUAUGAUGGAGUGGCUUAAAGUCAGGGGUUUUUGCGAAAAUGAAAAGGUGAUAGAGUGCUUUGGACAACAGCAGCCUUUUCACCAGCUGCCUGAAAAUGUUAGAUUUUGGGUAGAGCACAGACCAGGUGUUGACACCAUUGCUAGAGGUCCGCUGAACUCGCGGAAGAGUUUGUGUGUUGCCAAGAUCUUGAAAGCAACGUUCCUGAAGGACAGGAUAAAGAACUGAAGAAUGAGUGGUACACGUUAAGCAAAAAGGUAGGUGUGCACAAUCGUGAGAAGCAGGCACCAAUCAUCCAAGCUGUUGAGACCAGCUCAAGGCAGAGUGACAAAUGAAAGCUUUCAAAGCUAGAUAGCCAGUGAUAACCAGUAACUCUCAGAAGCAGGAUUGCAGGAGGUUUCCUACAAAACAAGUUGUUUUGUAGGAAACCCUGACCAAGAUAAGUGGCUCCUGCGGCCUUAUAUACGCAAGCUGACAGUUAAUGGCAACACAUGUGUGCUCCAAGAUACUACAGCAACUUUUGAUGUGGUUCGUAAAUAUGGAUCAGGUGGGCGAUUGAUAAGUACAGUGUUUGUUUCCAAGUCGAGCGCAUUAGUGACUGAAGCGGCUGUGUCACGGGACGUCUCACUCAGAUAUCUGACCCUAUUUUGAAACAGGUCUGCAAGGCUUUUGAAUGAGCAAGGUGGCAGCUUUGAAGGGUCCUGGAAAAAGAAGAAGAAAGGAGAAUGUGUCAUCCUGGAGAAGCCAAGGAAAACGCUUACUGCAGCUGGGAAAUGUGAAGCUCGAAGCACAAGGGCAAGACUAGUGCUUGCCCUUUGCCACUCAGUACUGACAGCUUGCCAAAGAUGAAUGGAGAAGGUUACAAGACUAUCUGGCAAGACCAACUUCAGCGGGCCUUGACAAAGGAAAGGAGACAACCGAGACGAAGAGCGCUACACCCCUGGCUGAAUAGCUCCACCCCUGUCCCCCCCUCCUAGGAAUUAUUGGACUCAACGUGCAGUGGACCAAGGGUCCAAUACAGAAGGUUGGUGUUUGGAGCUUCAAUGCUGAUCCCUCUGCACUUCCCCCCCCCCCCCCUUUCUGGGGUUUUACGUGCCAAACCAGUUCUGAUUAUGAGGCACGCCGCAGUGGAGGGCUCCGGAUUAAUUUUGACCACCUGGGGUUCUUAAACAUGGACUACAACGCAAGCACACAGGCAUUUUUGCUUUUCGCCUCCAUCGAAAUGCGGCCGCCGCGGCUGGGAUUCGAUCCCACGAUCUCGUGCUCAGCAGCGCAACGCCUUAGCUGACUGAGCCACCCCGGCGGGCAAGAUCCCUCUGCACAGUGGCUGCUGACCAAUGUACGUCAGGAUCUUCUUCCGCCACCUGCACUAUGUGAAGUCAGCAUAUUGGCUCUUAGAAAGCAAAUCCACAUGGACCAAAGCAGAAACCAUGUACAACACACAACACAAUUCAAGCAUAGUUCUAGGACGGUGUUGCCACAUUUACAGUCAAACAUCUCUACAGCAAAUGCCACUAGAAUGAAAUUACCUGAAUAACGAAAGAUUUCGUAUGUCCCGGCUAAA